GAUGAAGAACGCAGCGAAAUGCGAUAAGUAGUGUGAAUUGCAGAAUUCAGUGAAUCAUCGAAUCUUUGAACGCACAUUGCGCCCCUUGGUAUUCCAUGGGGCAUGCCUGUUCGAGCGUCAUUUGUACCUUCAAGCUUUGCUUGGUGUUGGGUGUUUGUCCAUUCUCUUGCAGAGGGACUCGCCUUAAAGUAAUUGGCAGCCAGUGUUUUGGUUUUGAAGCGCAGCACAAGUCGCGAUUCAACGCUAUACGCCAGCUUCCACAAGCCUUUUUCACUUUUGACCUCGGAUCAGGUAGGGAUACCCGCUGAACUUAAGCAUAUCAAUAGCGGAGGA
rnacentral:misc_RNA from 1 species